UUUCCGUAGGUGAACCUGCGGAAGGAUCAUUAUUGUAUAACCGAGGGGCGAGGGCUGUCGCUGACCCGAAAGGGCGUGCACGCCCGAGUGCCCUCACACACAUCCAUCUCACCCCUAUGUGCACCACCGCGUGGGUCCCCCUUUGGCUUGUUCGGAGGGGGGCUUACGUUUUCACACAAACUUUGUAUGCAGUGUAGAAUGUAUUUUUUGUUUUUGCGAUCACGCAAUCAAUACAACUUUCAACAACGGAUCUCUUGGCUCUC
rnacentral:misc_RNA from 1 species